rnacentral:rRNA from 1 species
AUACGUAGGGGGCGAGCGUUGUCCGGAAUGAUUGGGCGUAAAGGGCGCGUAGGCGGCGCGGUAAGUCUGGAGUGAAAGUCCUGCUUUCAAGGUGGGAAUUGCUUUGGAUACUGCCGCGCUUGAGUGCAGGAGAGGUUAUCGGAAUUCCCGGUGUAGCGGUGAAAUGCGUAGAGAUCGGGAGGAACACCAGUGGCGAAGGCGGGUAACUGGACUGCAACUGACGCUGAGGCGCGAAAGUGUGGGGAGCAAACAGGAUUAGAUACCCUGGUAGUCCACACUGUAAACGAUGAAUGCUAGGUGUAAGAGGUAUCGACCCCUUUUGUGCCGGAGUCAACACAAUAAGCAUUCCGCCUGGGGAGUACGGUCGCAAGAUUAAAACUCAAAGGAAUUGACGGGG